UGCGAUACUUGGUGUGAAUUGCAGAAUCCCGCGAACCAUCGAGUCUUUGAACGCAAGUUGCGCCCGAGGGAUCUACCCGAGGGCACGCCUGCCUCACGGGCGU
rnacentral:rRNA from 1 species